AUGUUUGAAGAGGCUGCAGGACAAAGAAGGAAAUCAGGAAUGGAGAUGACUCCAUGCACAAGACAAGUGCUCACAAUCUGUACGCAAAGCAGAAUGUCCUCAGUUUUGCUUUGGGAACAUCACAUAACCUAACCCAGAGAACAGGAACAUUUCAAAGAGAUGUUGGCUGCUAGGAGUGGAAAGCCGCACACAUCGUCUGUCUGCGUGCCUUCAAAAACACAUUGUGGACAAAAGCAUGGCGACCAUUUUAAAAGGCGAGGAUUUACGAGAAGUGGCUUAUAUCCAAAUGCAGUACUUUAGGUUGAUUAAAUAUGCUCUGAUGAAAUUGGUAUUAAAAUCUGUCUUUUUUUUUGCUGCAAAAUUUUGUUUUAUAGUUUGUAAAAUGGCAACACUGAGGCAGUGUUUUGAUUACUAAACUGUUUUUUCAGGUGAAGAAGUUUCAAAUCAAAUUCUCCACUUCCUCUUGCCUCAGAAAGAAACAAUUACGUAGCUCAUGUUAAACAUUUAAGCUUUUCCGUAGACUAUUUCCAGCAUGUAAUAUAGACGAUUAUAGAGCCUCAAUGCUCAGUCCAAAAAAUCAAUGUGAUAUCUGCUUGUGUCAGGCCAAUCUAAUAAUAAUAGGGUGUCUAUUGUCAUAUUAAAUGCCAUAUCGAUUCAGUCUUUUUGUUACAUAUAAUAAAUCUUUGCACCCGUG